CCUACGGGAGGCAGCAGUGAGGAAUAUUGGUCAAUGGCCGUAAGGCUGAACCAGCCAAGUCGCGUGAAGGAAGAAGGAUCUAUGGUUUGUAAACUUCUUUUAUAGGGGAAUAAAGGUAUCCACGUGUGGAUAUUUGCAUGUACCCUAUGAAUAAGCAUCGGCUAACUCCGUGCCAGCAGCCGCGGUAAUACGGAGGAUGCGAGCGUUAUCCGGAUUUAUUGGGUUUAAAGGGUGCGUAGGUUGUUUUUUAAGUCAGCGGUGAAAGUUUGUGGCUCAACCAUAAAAUUGCCGUUGAAACUGGCAGACUUGAGUGUGUUUGAGGUAGGCGGAAUGCGUGGUGUAGCGGUGAAAUGCAUAGAUAUCACGCAGAACUCCGAUUACGAAGGCAGCUUACUAAGCCAUAACUGACACUGAAGCACGAAAGCGUGGGGAUCAAACAGGAUUAGAUACCCUGGUAGUC
rnacentral:rRNA from 1 species